AGGGCUUAGGGUGGAUGCCUUGGCACAUGGGAGCGAUGAAAGACGUGGGAGGCUGCGAUAAGCCUCGGGGAGCUGUCAACCGAGCUGUGAUCCGAGGGUGUCUGAAUGAGGAAACUCACUGGGUAGGAAUGCCUGGUACUCAAACUUUGUUUGGGGGCGUACGUAGGGAAGUGAAACAUCUCAGUACCUACAGGAAAAGAUAUUCCGUUAGUAGUGGCGAGCGAAAGCGGAGGAGACCAAACCGGUUGUGUGUGAUACUUGUCAGGGGUUGCAUGAUCGGUGUUGUGGGAUGUUGUCGUACUGGUUCUGACAGGCUGGUGGCAAGUGAUAAAACAGGGUGUGAGCUGAACAGGAUUGAAUGCCUGGCUGUAGAGGGUGAUGGCCCCGUAGGUGUAAAUGCUUUGUCUUGUUGAUGAUGGUCCCAAGUAGCACGAUACUCGAGGAAUUUCGUGUGAAUCUGCCCAGACCGUUGGGUAAGUCUAAAUAUAUCCAUGUGACCGAUAGUGGACGAGUACCGUGAGGGAAAGGUGAAAAGUAGUCCGGGAGGACAGUGAAAUAGUUUCUGAAACCGUGAGCUUACAAUCCGUCGGAGCCUUGAGGGGUGACGGCGUGCCUAUCGAAAAAUGAGUCUGCGAGUUAGUGGUAUGUAGCGAGGUUAACCCGUGUGGGGGAUCCGUAGCGAAAGCGAGUUUUAAAAGGCGUUUGAGUUGCAUACUCUAGACCCGAAGCGGGAUGAUCUAUCCUUGAGCAGGUUGAAGCAGGGGUAAGACUUUGUGGAGGACCGAACGCACCUAGGUUGAAAACUGGGGCGAUGACUUGUGGAUAGGGGUGAAAGGCCAAUCAAAUUCCGUGAUAGCUGGUUCUCUCCGAAAUGCAUUUAGGUGCAGCGUCGGUUUUAGUUUCCAGGGGGUAGAGCUACUGGAUGCUUGCGGGCCCGUAUGGGGUACCAAUAGCAGCCAAACUCCGAAUACCUGUGAAGUGGUGGCCGGCAGUGAGUCAGCGGGGGAUAAGCUUCGUUGUCGAAAGGGAAACAGCCCAGAUCGUCGUCUAAGGUCCCUAAGCGUGUGCUAAGUGGGAAAGGAUGUGGAGUCGCAUAGACAGCCAGGAGGUUGGCUCAGAAGCAGCCAUCCUUGAAAGAGUGCGUAACAGCUCACUGGUCUAGUGGUUCCGCGCCGACAAUGUAGCGGGGCUCAAGCACACCACCGAAGACGCGGCAAUCAGUCUUUUUGGCUGGUUGGGUAGGAGAGCGUUGUCUACUGGGGUGAAGCAGGCGUGGAAACGUUUGUGGACUGUAGACAAGUGAGAAUGCAGACAUGAGUAACGAAAGACGGGUGAAAAUCCCGUCCGCUGGAUGACUAAGGGUUCCAGGGCCACGUUCAUCGUCCCUGGGUGAGUCGGGUCCUAAGGCGAGGCCGACAGGCGUAGUCGAUUGGAUGAAGGAGUUGAUAUUCUCCUACCAGUGUAUUCUCGACCAUUCCGAGGCUUACUGUACUAACCUCACACUUCUUACUGUUUCAUCUUUCGGGGUGUUGUGGUUGGUUGUGUUUGGGAUCUUGGUUUGUAGUAGGACAGCACAGGAGUGACGCAUUGGGAUAGCUGACAUGUCAGGUGGUUUUGGCAUGGUAAGCACGCAGCCUGUGGGAUAGGUAAAUCCGUUCCACGUGAGGGUGAGGUGUGAUGCGCGCUGGUUUUAUACUGGUGUUUUGGUGAUUCUUGGUGUCAAGAAAAUCUUCGGUGUGAGAGGAUAUAUCUGCCCGUACCCUAAACCGACACAGGUGGUCAGGUAGAGUAUACCAAAGCGAUCGAGCGAAUCCUGGUCAAGGAACUCGGCAAAUUACUCCCGUGCCUUCGGUAUAAGGGAGACCCUUGAUGGUGAAACUCUUUACGGGUGGAGCUUUUGGGGGUGGCACAGACCAGGGGGUAGCGACUGUUUACCAAAAACACAGGUGCAUGCGAAGACGUAAGUCGCUGUAUAUGCACUGACGCCUGCCCGGUGCCGGAAGGUUAAGAGGAUCCAUUAACCCUUUUGGGGUGAAGUGGUGAAUUUAAGCCCCGGUAAACGGCGGUGGUAACUAUAACCAUCCUAAGGUAGCGAAAUUCCUUGUCGGGUAAGUUCCGACCUGCACGAAUGGCGUAACGACUUCCCCACUGUCUCGACCAGGAGCUCGGUGAAAUUGCAGUACGAGUAAAGAUGCUCGUUAAGCGCAGAAGGACGAAAAGACCCCGGGACCUUUACUAUACCUUGGUAUUGGCAUUCGGUGUGGAUUGUGUAGCAUAGGCGGGAGACUGUGAGGCCAGGGCGCUAGCUUUGGUGGAGUCGUCAAGUGAAAUACCGUUCUGUUUAUAUUGGAUGUCUAACCUCGAACAGUUAUCCUGUUCAGGGACAGUGCCUGGCGGGUAGUUUAACUGGGGCGGUUGCCUCCUA
rnacentral:rRNA from 1 species